AAGUCGUAACAAGGUUUCCGUAGGUGAACCUGCGGAAGGAUCAUUACCGAGUUAGGGUCGCCCGCGCGCCCGACCUCCAACCCCUUUGUCUACCUGACCUUAUGUUGCUUCGGCAGGCCCGCCGCCCCCUCUCGUGGGGGUGGCCGCCGGGGGGUCCUUCGUGACCUCGGCCCGCGCCUGUCGAUUGGCCCAAUAAACUCUUGCUAUUAAACGUGUCGUCUGAGUAAAACAAACAAAAUUAAAACAAAACUUUCAACAACGGAUCUCUUCGGUUCUGGCAUCGAUGAAGAACGCAGCGAAAUGCGAUAAGUAAUGCGAAUUGCAGAAUCCGUGAGUCAUCGAAUCUUUGAACGCAUAUUGCGCCCCUCUGGUAUUCCGGAGGGCAUGCCUGUUCGAGCGUCAUUAUCACCCCUCAAGCCCGGCUUGUUGUUGGACCCGGCGGGAGCUUCGCGCCCCCGCCCGUCUCAAAGAUAAUGACGGCGUCUGUGAGGACUCCUGUACACUGAGCUUUCGGGCACGUACUAGGCUAGAAGUCCAGACCGGUCUUUUGUCGGCGUCCGCGCGACACCCCCUUUUUAUCAACGGUUGACCUCGGAUCAGGUAGUUGAAUAUCCCGUGCU
rnacentral:rRNA from 1 species